rnacentral:rRNA from 1 species
UACAGAGGUCUCAAGCGUUGUUCGGAUUCAUUGGGCGUAAAGGGUGUGUAGGUGGCGCCGUAAGUCGGGUGUGAAAUUUCGGAGCUUAACUCCGAAACUGCAUUCGAUACUGCGGUGCUUGAGGACUGGAGAGGAGACUGGAAUUUACGGUGUAGCGGUGAAAUGCGUAGAUAUCGUAAGGAAGACCAGUGGCGAAGGCGGGUCUCUGGACAGUUCCUGACGCUGAGGCACGAAAGCUGGGGGAGCAAACAGG